rfam:Salmo salar isolate Sally breed double haploid chromosome ssa17, whole genome shotgun sequence.
UAUGUAUUCGUAUGUAAGUCGCUCUGGAUAAGAGUGUCUGCUAAAUGUCCAAAC